ACAGAGUCAAGGAGGAAUGUCCUGGAGAGAUAUUAGAGAAAAGAAAGUAAAACACUUCAGUGAAACAAGUAAAAGGUUGUUAAUAUGAAUACCUACCUGUUUUAAUAAAAACUGGCCUGAAAACCUCAGACUGGAUGGAGCCGUUGGGUCAACCAGAGGAGCAGAUGCUUCCAUGAUGAAGAAUACUCAGUGGAAUGGGAGUGAGGAAGAAGAAGUCAGGAAACAUGUUACCAAACCAGCUUCCGAUGGACGGAUUAAAAGAUGCCUGUGUGCCUAGAGGAAAAUCUAACCUGCUUCAGAAACGGUGUACAGCUUGGGGAACACGCCUCACAACUCUAAUAAUAGUACCGAGGAGAGCCAGUUCAGGACCAGUACGAGAGGAGAGCGUCGUCUCUUUCAACACAUGCUCGUAAAUUAAAGUACAUCGUGCUUUACCCUCCUGGGUUCCCUUUCUUGUAUUUAUUUUUGGGUGACUUUGGUUGUGUUGAGGUAUAAUACAAAGAAUUUGUCCAGAUUGUGCGUUGGAAGCUGAAUUUAAACUUUUCCCUUUUUUUCUUUAAAUUAUUCAGAUGCCAUUUAAACGGUUUGAUGACCUUUUAGGUUUAUUUGUCUAUGCUCCAGUUCAAAAUGCGUUGCUAAGAUAUGUUACUGCGGUGGCAGUAGGUUUAAUUCUUUUAUCAUUGUUUACGCUUAAGAUUCAGGCUUCAUAUUUCAUUAUUUUCCACCGGAUGAGUAUAUUUUUAGGUGUGCGGUACAGCUACCAAUUUUGAUAUGUUUCAGUGUUUAAUGCGUUUAAUAAUAAUAAUGCAAAAAUAAAAAUAAAGUUGUUGCCAAUUUUCCACCCACAGACUUGGCUAACACUAAAAUUUACA